rnacentral:rRNA from 1 species
UGAGGAAUCUUGCGCAAUGGGGGAAACCCUGACGCAGCAACGCCGCGUGAGUGAGGAAGGCCUUCGGGUCGUAAAGCUCUGUCGGGUGGAAAGAAACGUAUGAAUGUUAACAGCAUUUGUACUUGACGGUACCGCCAAAGGAAGCACCGGCUAACUCCGUGCCAGCAGCCGCGGUAAUACGGGGGGUGCAAGCGUUGUUCGGAAUCAUUGGGCGUAAAGAGCGUGUAGGCGGCUGAAUAAGUCAGAUGUGAAAGCCCUGGGCUCAACCCAGGAAGUGCAUUUGAAACUGUUCGGCUAGAGUAGGGGAGAGGGAAGUGGAAUUCCUGGUGUAGAGGUGAAAUUCGUAGAUAUCAGGAGGGACACCGGUGGCGAAGGCGACUUCCUGGCCCUAUACUGACGCUGAGACGCGAGAGCGUGGGGAGCAAACA